ACUCACCUGACAUGGAAGGCUUGCAGGCCCGGCGGCAGCAGGAGAAGACCAUAAAGAAGAUACAGGAAGGAGAAGGCCGCCGGCGAGAAGGUGUACUGGAUGUGCCGGGACCAGGCUCGGCUGGGCUGCCGCAGCCGCGCCAUUACCCAGGGCCGUCGGGUCAUGGUGAUGCGAAGCCACUGCCAUUCCCCUGACCUGGCUGGCCUGGAGGCCCUGAGGCAGCGGGAGAGGGAGAAGGCCCGGGAGAGGGAGAAGGCCCGGGAGAGGGAGAAGGCCCCCAGUGCAGCCAAGAAGAAAAAGAAGAAGAAGAAGAAGAAA
rnacentral:lncRNA from 1 species